rnacentral:rRNA from 1 species
GUAGUUUGACGUCCGUGGCUACGAGGACACGCUGGCGGCGUGCUUAACACAUGCAAGUCGAGCGGUAAGGCCCUUCGGGGUACACGAGCGGCGAACGGGUGAGUAACACGUGAGCAACCUGCCCUGACUCUGGGAUAAGCGGUGGAAACGCCGUCUAAUACCGGAUACGACCUUCCGCCUCAUGGUGGAGGGUGGAAAGUUUUUUCGGUCAGGGAUGGGCUCGCGGCCUAUCAGCUUGUUGGUGGGGUAACGGCCUACCAAGGCGAUUACGGGUAGCCGGCCUGAGAGGGCGACCGGCCACACUGGGACUGAGACACGGCCCAGACUCCUGCGGGAGGCAGCAGUGGGGAAUAUUGCGCAAUGGGCGAAAGCCUGACGCAGCGACGCCGCGUGGGGGAUGACGGCCUUCGGGUUGUAAACCUCUUUUACCACCAACGCAGGCUCCGGGUUCUCUCGGGGUUGACGGUAGGUGGGGAAUAAGGACCGGCUAACUACGUG